GAUUACCUCAGUAACGGCGAGUGAAGCGGUAACAGCUCAAAUUUGAAAUCUGCCGCAAGGCCGAGUUGUAAUUUGUAGAAGAUGCUUUGGGUAUGGCCCCGGUCUAAGUUCGUUGGAACACGACGUCAUAGAGGGUGAGAAUCCCGUAUGUGACUGGGUGCUUUUGCCUACGUAAAGCUCUUUCGACGAGUCGAGUUGUUUGGGAAUGCAGCUCAAAAUGGGUGGUAUAUUUCAUCUAAAGCUAAAUAUUGGCCAGAGACCGAUAGCGCACAAGUAGAGUGAUCGAAAGAUGAAAAGCACUUUGGAAAGAGAGUUAAACAGUACGUGAAAUUGUUGAAAGGGAAGCGCUUGCAACCAGACUUGCACGCUGUUGAUCAUCCAGGCUUCUGUUUGGUGCACUCAACUGCGUUCAGGCCAGCAUCGGUUUUGGUGGUGGGAUAAAGGCCUUGGGAAUGUAGCUUCUUUCGGGGAGUGUUAUAGCCCUCGGUGCAAUGCCGCCUACCGGGACCGAGGACCGCGCUUCGGCUAGGAUGCUGGCGUAAUGGUUGUAAGCGACCCGUCUUGAAACACGGACCAAGGAGUCUAACAUCUAUGCGAGUGUUUGGGUGUCAAACCCAUACGCGUAAUUAACGUGAACGGAGGUGAGAACCCUUAAGGGUGCAUCAUCGACCGAUCCUGAUGUCUUCGGAUGGAUUUGAGUAAGAGCAUAGCUGUUGGGACCCGAAAGAUGGUGAACUAUGCCUGAAUAGGGUGAAGCCAGAGGAAACUCUGGUGGAGGCUCGCAGCGGUUCUGACGUGCAAUCGAUCGUCAAAUUUGGGUAUAGGGGCGAAAGACUAAUCGAACAUCUA
rnacentral:rRNA from 1 species